GAUGAACGCUGGCGGCGUGCCUAAUACAUGCAAGUCGAGCGAACAGACGAGGAGCUUGCUCCUCUGACGUUAGCGGCGGACGGGUGAGUAACACGUGGAUAACCUACCUAUAAGACUGGGAUAACUUCGGGAAACCGGAUCUAAUACCGGAUAAUAUAUUGAACCGCAUGGUUCAAUAGUUAAAGACGGUUUUGCUGUCACUUAUAGAUGGAUCCGCGCCGCAUUAGCUAGUUGGUAAGGUAACGGCUUACCAAGGCAACGAUGCGUAGCCGACCUGAGAGGGGGAUCGGCCACACUGGAACUGAGACACGGUCCAGACUCCUACGGGAGGCAGCAGUAGGGAAUCUUCCGCAAUGGGCGAAAGCCUGACGGAGCAACGCCGCGUGAGUGAUGAAGGUCGUCGGAUCGUAAAACUCUGUUAUUAGGGAAGAACAAAUGUGUAAGUAACUAUGCACGUCUUGACGGUACCUAAUCAGAAAGCCACGGCUAACUACGUG
rnacentral:rRNA from 1 species